GCAUGACCUCCAUAAAGAACCUUCAUAUCAUCUUGCCCUGCAUGAAAGAAACCAAACAGGGAGUCAAUGCCAACAUCUCAGUGAUUUUCUACUGAUACCUGACUACCAAUCUUCUGUUGCUUCAUCUGCUUUAUACUUUACCAGGAACUCCUUGAAGGAACUGACUGGGAUUUAACAGUCCAACACUCAGGCAAACUAUUCUCCCUAUCCACAAAUCCCCAGAGGAAAAAGAUACCAGAUCCUUCUGAAUAUUUCUGUGUGCCAGUAUUCUCCAGGACUUUUCUAGUUGUUCAACUAUUUUCUGAGUCCACAGUAAAGAGAAAGAACCUGGAACAGAGACCGUCAAGCUUCCCACCCUAGAC